AUCUUUCUGGUUCUUGAAAAUGAUGAGUGGGUUUUCACGCAGUUGUGUGAUAUGUGCAUCCCAACCUUGUUACGACUUUGCACAUUACCCAUCUGAUC